AAAAUUAAAGACCUAUCUUCUAGACAGCUGUCCAAAAAUAUCUAAACAAAAGGGCAAAAAAAUUAAAAGAAUGAUGUAAAUGAAAAUGAAUCAUCUUUUUCAUCUUUGUUGUAAUCUUCACUCCAGUUCUGGAAAAGGUGUUGUAAGUAGCUUCCUUGUUGGUAGUCAAGCUCAGAUCGAUAAAUGCAUGAUGAACUUUGGGCAUUUUCAUCUAAGGUGUUAAAAAUCUCACUGACACCAUGAAAUUGUUUCGAUCGAAGACUUCUUCAACUCAUAUAGCUUCCAAUCCGAACUUAUUACAACAAGAUAAGUUUUCUUACUUUUACCUCUAAUUUAUUUCUCAGUUAACAUCAAUUUUAUCUCCCCGAUAGAUUGAGCUUAACUAGAAGCUGAUACCACUGCCUAAGAAGAUACCAUUUAAUGAUUAUUUGACCUUAACCAGAAACUUGAGCUCCAUAUGUGUUAUUGAGGUAAUUUUGCUUUUACUUGACACUACCAUUGUCAAUGAUAGUUGUUGUUUGUUGAUUGUAUCUAAACAUAUCUACAUCUUGUACUGUUAACUUUGUUAUUUGAAGAUUAUUAACUUUUCUUGUACCUUUUGAAAGACCAAAAACCCUUAGUUUGUGCACUGCAUGUUUGAUUGUUGAGUGUUCUGCAUGCUAUGUCGUAGCAUUGUUUUUGUUUAGACAAGACCAAAAUCCACAUUUUGUAUCUUUUUAAUUCUUAAACUUGGAAGUUGUUCCUUGUCCAUGUUGGACUUUCUGAUAAUUCAAAAAGGAGUAAUUUUCAUUACCUGCAAAAGAGAAGACAUAGUUAGCUAAAAAAUCAGCAAGUUGAUUCCCUCCCCUGUAAAUGUGUUGGACCGUGACCACCACCUCUCUUUAUUUUAUUAGAUUUUGAAUUCUUCUUAUUUCAUUAGAAAUACCCCAUGGAAUCUCCUACUGAUUUGUACCAAAUUUCUGAACAGCCAAAGAAUUAGUUUCCAAGCAAAUAGGCAUUGGAUUAUGCUCAAUACAAUAUUCCAAUCCCAACAUUAAAGACACAAAUUCAGCCACUAAAUUGAUUCCAUCAGGAAUUCUUCUAGUUUUAGCAUGAAUUAACUCUCUAAUGUGAUUCCUAACAUAAAAAGCUGCUGAACUUGGUCCAGGAUUGCCCUUCACAGCAGCAUCAGAAUUACAUUUGUACUGGUUUCUUUUAGGAAAAUUCCACUUCACCACAACAGUUUUCAAGGUUGACCUGUACUCUGAUAAAAAUCUCACUAAAUCCACCCAAGAAUCUAGUAUAUUUUUAAGCCAAGGAUAUAGACAUUUAGCUAAAUAUAUCAGAUUUCUAGUUAUUUCAAACUUCAUACUCCAAAGAGAUCUUUUACUACCAUGUCUAAGAUAGUUUUUGCUUUUCCAAAUUUGCCACAGUAUAAACAUUGGUACAACUCUAAAAAUAGGCUUCAGUUAAGGUAUAUUAGAUACAUUCCACCACUUUAGCACAUUGUCUUUAAUUUGUAAAAAUGGACCAGUCACUCCUGCUAUAGAAGCAAAAUAAUUUCAUCGAGCUUUUGAGUAAUCACACUGUAAAAGCAAGUGUUCAAUAGUUUCCUGAACAUCUCUUUCACAACAGUAGCAAAUCACAUUAUCAGCAAUUCUGUUUCUAAUUAAAAACUCUCCUAUUGGGAUCCUCUUAUGCCACAAUCUCCACAAAAAGAAAGAUCGCUUAAAAGGUAUACCUUUCAACCAUAUAUAUCUGAAUUUUUUAUUUUUGACCUCUUUGCUUCUUAUAAUUUCUCAAGCUAACUUCACAAAAAACGUACCAGAGGUUUUCAACAUCCACCAUGCUUUAUCCCACAUUUUUGUUUGAGAUACACUCUGAAUAUUUUCAAUUACAAAACCACAAACUUCCUCACCAAACUUCUGCAACAUAUCUAUCUUUCACCCCUUAGUUGUACAUAACUGAUUGACCUCAUCAAUUUGGUAAUCCUUAUGCAUAUCAAGUGGCAAGUAAUAAUGAAGUGCUCCUAAUUGUGACCAGUUAUCAAACCACGCACUAGAAUGAUCUACUUUAGGUUCUCACCAUGUUUCUUGAUCAAAAGUGUCUCUAGCCUCCAACAUAUAUUUCCAAACCAAUGAUUCACUUUUCCAGUCAACCAAUUGUGGUCUAACUUUUUUGAAAUACUUGUUCCACAUGAAGUUAGACCAUAAAGUCUUUUGUGUCCUGAAAGUCCACUACAGCUUUGCAAAUAAAGCUUUUGACACAUUAAAAAGGGAUCUAAGUCCCAAUCCUCCCUCAUCUUUAGGUCUGCAAAUAUCUGUCCAUUAUAUCCAAUGCAUGUUUCUGCCAAUUUCCUUAAAAUCCCACAGAAAUUUUGCAAAAAGUUUAUGCAAAUCAUGCAAUACACAUUUAGGUGGAAUAGUGGUAGAAAGUAGAUAUAUUGGCAUGCUAUUAAGAAAAUUUUGUAUCAAAACAGCUUUACCACCAAAAGAGAGCAUCUUCCCUUUCCAUACUUGAAGUUUAUUCUGCACUUUCUUCAACAACUCAACAAAAUGAGACUUCUUUUUAGCAUGCCCAAUUGGACAAUCCAAAUAAAUUAGUGAGAAAGAACUUUUAGCAAAUCCAGUGAUUUCCUCCACUAAUCUAAUAUCAGAAUGGGAAGUCUCAUGAUAAACAAAUAAAAAACUUUUCCUUUGUUAAUUAAUUAACCUGAUUGCCUUUCAUAAUCUUUGAGAACCCUCAUGACCAUCUGUAAUGAAAUUUUAUCAAUAGAAGUGAAAAUAAUUGUAUCAUCUGCAUAUGCAAGAUGAUUCAUAUUUUCACUCCACUUUGGCAUUCCAUACCCUCAGUAUCUAGGAUCAUCAAAUAGGGAAGUCAAUGAUCUAGAUAAAACCUCAGCUGCCAUAAUAAAUAAUGCAGGAGAAAGAGGAUCCCCCUGCUUAACUCCUCUGGUUGAAUGAAAAAAUCCAUGAGCCUGGCCAUUUAUCAGAACUGAAUACCAGUUAUUAGCAAUAAGUCUCCAAUUUUUGUCAACAACAUUUGAAUCAAAACCUAUCUUUUCCAGUACCUUAAUCAGAAAUUUCCACCCCACUCUAUCAUAUGUCUUGGCCAUAUCAAAUUUAAUCACCACAUUAGAAGGUUUGCCUCUUAGCCUAAUAUCAGGAAUAAUUUCCCGAUAAUAGUACUUUUCUCAUGUAAUUUUCAAAUAUGUAAAUUUUAUUUUUAAAAAUUUAAAACUUUUAUGUCUGAAUUCACGAUCAAAAUUAAACUAUUUAACUCUUGAAAUCCAAAAUAUACCACUUAAUAGUCAAAAUUAAGAAUAGUAUUGCAACAUUACAAAGUCUUCCCAUAAACUCUUUUUCCAGUCGGACUACAUCACAUAAAAUUGUGAUGGAGGUAAUAUUUUUAUACUAUAUAUUAGGGAAGAAGUUGAACUUUGGUCGUCCUCACAGCAUGCCAAGUAGCUAACGUGGCUAAUAGUUAGUGGGUUCUCUUUAUCUAUUUUGAUUUUAUAUGCACAUUCAUUCCUUUUCUUUUAGGUCCAUUCCAUGUGGACUUAUCUAAUUGGAUAUUAAUAUUAUAGUAACUUUUGUGUGCAUAUUUUGUUUUUUCACUUCCUCCUUCAAUUAUAUUUUAUUCUGUGUCUUAAUUUAUAUAAUGUAGUAUGAUUUGACACGAAGUUUAACAAACUAAAGAAAGAUGUUUGAAGUUUACGAUCUAAAUAAGACAGAUAUUUCAAUGACUAUAACCUUUUAGUAGUCCUCACAAACUUUUUAAUGCAAUUAAAUAGCUACAUGUUUACUUAUUUUCCAUACAUGUUACAUUUGUCCCCAUAUAUCAUUUUAUGAUAUUUUUAUUUGGGACUUUGUAAUUUUUUUUAGUACUCUUUUUUUUUUUAUAAAUCUCUUCUUGUUCCUUAUUAGAUUACUUGUUCCUUUUUACUUAUUUUGUAUGUUAAAAAUUAAUUACUUUUCUUUCUUGUUUAUUUUAGUAAAUCACGAAAGAUUUACAACUAUUUUCACAUUAUUAUUAUUAUUAUUAUUAUUAUUAUUAUUAUCAAGUAAUUAAGUAACUGACUGAACUGAUAGUACUCUAAGAUAUCAGAACCAUUCUGAAAAUACUGAGACUAAGUAAACAACUAAGUUUUUGGGUAUUCAUAACCCCCAAGACUCGAUAGCAAUAAUAACAGGGACAUACUAAAGCUUCAAAACCAUAAUGAGAAAGCAUUAUUUAAAGAAAACCAUCACUUGGGCAAUUCAUCAAACACACGGGGAUCGUGAACUUAAACAUAGGAAUAUCUUAAACAUGGGAGCAUAGCAUGAUUACAUAACUAAAAUCAUGAAAUGGGAAAUUUACAUGUAAUUUGCUUGAAAUAGGCCAUGGGCGUUUCAUCAAAACAUGUAAAGAUCAUGGCUUGAACAUAAGAAUGUCUUAACAUGAGGGAACAAUAGAGUUACAAGACAAAAUUCAUAACUUGGGUAUUCAUAUUGAAAUUAAUUGAACAUGAUAUGGGAAUUUCGUCAAACAUGUGGAAAGCAAUAAUUUAAAACAUGGUAAUGUUGCUAAAAAUCAUGAAUUUAGGAUCUAUCAUGGAAUUCACUUGAAUAAAGAAUGGGAACUCAAAUUCAUGGCAUGAGGAAAUCAAAAUCUUGCAUGGAAUCACACAUGGGCUGAAUUGAAUUAAAAACACCAUGAAAUCAUGAAAUUAAAUCUUUCUUGAACAUACCGAAUUCCAUAAUAAGAAUAAAAAUCCAUUCUUUAGUUGAAGAGAGGGGUUUUGGGCUCUAUGGGUGAAAGAGAACCCAUGGAUGAACUCCCACACACCUUAAAACUUUAAAUCUUGAAGAAGAAAUAAAAUCUUGAAAGCUUUCUUGAAUUGGGAAACUUUGGUUCUUGAUUAUUCUUGAAGAGGAGGAUUGAAUUUGAUGUUCUUGGGAUUAGGUUAUGGUUUCUUGGAGAGAAAAGUGAAGGAGAAUGGGCAAAUAAUGCUUAAACUGACAUCUUAAAUCGUAUUUUUACGACCUGGUUUGAGGUGAUAAAAGACCCAAUUGCCCCUCACUCAUUUAAACCAAAAAUUCAUAAUCCGAAUUGCAUUUUAAAGGCUCACCGCGACGCAUUAUAAUCGCGGUGGCUUACUGGUCUUGAUGAAAAUGACCAUAACUUUCUGCUCGAGUAUCAGAUUAAGGAGAAAUUGGAAUCAUUGGAAAGCUGACUCAAUUAUCUACAAUUUGGUGGGGCUUUAGCUAAAAAAUUUAACAUAUAUAAAAAGUUAUACACUUUCAAAGUUUACCCUUGUAAAAUCGAACACCAAACUUUGGAUGAAUCUAAGGUUCUUAGUUCAACUUGGCUCUAAGUAAUUUCUAUGAACAUUCUUCACCUAAUAAGCACUUCACACGCUAAGAUAAAGAUCAUGACACUUGCAUUUGAAUUAUUAAUCAUGAACAUGACAAAUAUACCUUCACUGCGAUGUGAUGAGUGUCUCAUCUCUGUCCCUGGCGCGACGCGGUGGAAUUUUGUUAAGCUACUAGAAUUGAAAUCGAAACGUGACCUAAUCCUCAUUCAAAAAAUCCAAAACUUACUCGAGACAUGCUCCUUACAUCCUUGAACAUGAAUCAAAUAAAAAACCAUUAUCUUGGAGUUUGGAAGGUCAACUUAAAACUCCUCGAAGUUAGAAGGUUUUAAAAAUGGCUAAGUCCUCAACACAUAGCUAAAUUUUUAGGCUUUUAGCCUCUUAUGCAAGCAUUAGGAGCUGAACUAAACUAAAAAAAUUAUAGGGUAUUACAAUAUCUCUCCCUUGGAAACAUUCGUCCUCGAAUGAGACUAGUUAGACUGAGAGUAUUGUACUAAAGUAAUUGAGGUCAUAUACUGAAUAUGCAUGACUUGGAAACAUGAUUGCAUAACUGAGUCAGAGCAUAAUACAUAAAUUGAAUUGAUUUCAUGAAUAAAUGCAUUGACAAGACAAUGGUUAUAAGGCUAAGAUAGAAAAGAAAGAGUCAACAUAUGAGUAUCUAUUGCCUUAGGCAAGAUCUAGUUUCGUGAAGAAAAGAUGAGAGGUUUAGGACAUGAAAACUCAGGGUAAUACAAUACAUCUCUACCUUGGGAUAUUUCGUCUCCUGAAUGAUACUACUUGGUUGAAAUACUAAGGAAAGACUGAGAUGAUGCACGGGAAACUUAUGGACUGAAUCAUGACUGAAUAUCUGGAAUAUGAAACUGAUGCAUGAACUGAGCUGAAUUCACAAAUUACAUGGAUGCGAAUAAAUUAUUUCUUGGAAUAGCCAUAUUCAUGAGAUUUCGAAUAGUAUGACUAGAUGGAAGGAUGGAAAGCCAUUGGAACGUGUCUGAAUGACUGCUAAACUGGAUUGCUGGCUAUACGGACUAAAUUAUACUGAAAGCCUAAACUCAACUAUACAUUCCACUUCAAAACUGUACUUCACUUGAGGUUACUUAAAAUGUUCACAUGGGCACUGAUAACUCUACCUACUGAAGUCUGAGCUGAACUGAAUUUUCUCACCAUGUUCAAGCCUACUCAAAUAUACAAAGUGAACCCAUAACACUGUAAUACUAAUCUGAAUCAUGAAUUUAAUACCCCCUGCGCUUCUACAACUUCUCAUCACCACUAUCUCGACAUAAGGAAAGGUCACUGAAAGGUUAGAAUAUGGGGACCUAAAACAUAAAAGAAUACAAUGCAUAAUAUGACACUUAACUGAGGCCUAAGAAAUAGAGUAUCAAUAUAAUGGAUUCACCAAAGAGGUCUAAACUGAGGACAUUCAUGACAUAAACUGAAUUUCGCUGAUCACUAGGAGUGUAGCAUGAGUAUUGGAACCGAACAUACUGCAAAGCAUGAGUACAUGAGUCAUGAGUUGCAUGACCUGAGUUUGGAGUUCAUAAAUUCAUGGAGCAUGAUUCGUACUGCUGAAUAAACUGGAACUCCUCAUACUAGGAACUGGGAGAGUACAUGAUUCUCAAUUAUGUGUAUGAACAUGAACUAUAAUCAUAGAGCUGACAUGUAAGGCAUGAGUAGAUAUCGUGAUGAUUGAAAUACAAUACUAAAAUAAGAAUGGGUUGGGAAUCAACCCCCCUUUACUGAUGUUCUACAAUAUUUUAGCAUCAUUACUAGAAUCUAAAAGCCUGACUUGGGUAUUUGUUCUAUCAUCUCCCCCUUAGCUUUAAGCCAUCACUCUAAGUCUGUGAAACACUUUACUAAACUCUAAACUGAACUACAAUCACUUUACUCUAGAGUCUAGGGUAUAAUAAUACACAUGAAUGAUAAACUCAUCCUGAAAGACUACACCUAAAAGUAUAAAUGCCACUGCUAAUAUUAUCUUCUGGGAUACAACUUUUAACUUUCUAUAGCCCCAAUAGUCACCAUACAAUUACUUAAAACACUUACUAAUUUAGAAUCUUUAAGAGUUUCAUUAUACCAACAUACCUAACAUCAUCAACCUAUAUCUCGUAACUUCGCUGGUAAGAACAUCACAUACUACAUAACCUCAUUUGCUAUUUAACAACUCAAGGGUACUAUCUAAGCACACACAUUUUAAAACUUAGAAAUAAUGCAAUCCCAUCAACUUUGGUACACCUCUAGAUCAUAAAUACAUCAUCAUACUUAGUUUUGCAUCAAUAAACAUAAAUUCUUGCAUUCACUAUUUCAAGCCUACUGAUUCACCUUUCAUAUAACUAGCCCUUGAAUACAUAAUCUGCUUAAUCCAGAUUACACUAUCUAAACGUGACCCAAUCCUUGUUCGAAAAAUUUAAAACUUACCCAAGACAUGCUUCUUACAUCCUUGAACAUGAAUCGACUCAAAAACCAUCGUCUCAGAAUUUGGAAGGUCAACUUAAAACUCCUCGGAGUUAGAAGGUCUUAAAAAUGGCUAAGUCCUCAACACAUAGCUAAAUUUUCAGGCUUUUAUCCUCUUAUGCAAGCACUAGGAGCUAAACUGAACUAAGAAAAGUACGGGGUAUUAUAAUAGUUAAUCACGAUAAUUCCACUAGAGAGUAGUUCUCUAAUAGUAUUAUCUCUCAGUUUUAUAUGACGAGAUUUAUCAUUAUACAUUAUGUUCUCUGCCCUACAUAUUGCAGGACCCUAAUCCCGUGUUAUGACUAAUAGAGGGUGGGGGGAAAAGAUUAAAUUGUCCCUCUUGGAUGCGAAUUUUAAAAGCUGAAAAACUAGGCAUCGAUGCGAUUGGCGACGCGACGCGUCGAUGGCAUCGAUGCAAUACUGACGCGUCGCGCCCUAAUCAUGCCAAGCCUCAGUAGUUCCUGGAACAAAAUUGACCAACGCGAUGGGUGACGCGGCGCGCCAAGAUCGUAUUGGUCCACUAUUUUAGGACACCAAACAUGGUCUAAACAUGGAUCAAAAAUUUUGAAACUUAUUCGGGAACACCUAUUGACUUCCCUAAUCAUAAAUUAGCUAAAAUAUCAAUUAUCGAAGGCCGAGAAGGUUGGUAGUAAAAUCCUCAAAGUUUUGAGACUCUAGAAAUGACUAAGCUCCAACACCUAGCUAGAUUUUCUAAGUCUAGGAACUCUUUGGGCAUUAUUUAAGAGAUUUAGAUGAUGAGGAUUUUGUGGGGUCUUACAGCUGUAAAGGUAAUCUGAGCAAGAAACUGAAUGAACUCAAGGGAAACUGUUACCUUGAGUUGAGUCUGAGUUUGCAGAUAAGAGGUGAGGAUACUUUGUCCGCAUAUCUGCUUCUGUUUCCCACGUAGCUCCCUCAAUGGACUAAUUCCGCCAAAGAACUUUGACUAGAGGAACCUCUUUGUUCCUCAGUCUGUGAAUUCUGAUGAUCUAGGAUUUUUACUGGGAUCUCUUCAUAAGAGAGAGAUUGUUCUGAACAACUAUACUCCCCAUAGGGACUACAACUACUAAGUCACCUAUGCACUUCUUAAGCAAGGAGACAUAAAACACUGGAUGUACUGAAGCUAAAUCUAGAGGCAACUCAAGCUCGUAAGCAACCUUUUCAAAGUGACUAAGAAUUUGGUAGGGCCAAAAUUUUGGGGGCUGAGCAUCCCUUUCUUGCCAACCUCUUUACCCCCUUCAUGGGAGAGAUUUUCAAGAAUAUAAAAUUACUGAUCUCAACUCGAGAUCCUUUACUGAACACGCAUGAAUGGGAACAUGAGAACAUAACUGAGGCUGAAACGUGAUACAUGAACUGGAUAUCAUGAACUGAACUGAGACCCUGAAUACAUGGCGUACGGCUGGGAUUAGAACUUGAGGGUCAACUUAUGAGUACCCACUACUCCAAUCUAGAUUUGUUAUGUAAAGAGAAGAUGGAAGGUUUUGGUCAUGAAAGCUUGAGGGAUUAUAGUGCAUCCCCCUCUUGGGAUAAUACGUCCCCUGAAGGAUGUUGACUUGGUUGAGCUACUGAGGAAAGACUGGGAUGAUGCACAGGGCACCUACGAACUAAAUUGUAACUGCAUAUCGAGGAUCUGAAACUGAGGCAUGAUACAUGAACUGAGCUGAACUCGCAACUACAUGCUUGCUCUAUCUUAAAAUAGUUAUAUUCAUGAGAUUUCGGAUAGUCCGAUUAGAUAGAAAGAUGGGAAACCAAACCAUACGAACUUGUCCGCCUAACUGCUAAACUGGAUUGCUGGCUUUGUGACUAACUUAUGCUGGAAACUUGUACUCGACUGGAGCCUUUUUUUUUUACACCCUUUUUAUAGAGUUCUAAUGGAUUUAGAGAGCAAGAAAUGCCCCUGAAUAAAACAUCCAAAUAAGAAAUCACAUCCUAACUAAAAUUUUGUAGUGUGAGGCGAGGCCUACAAAACAUCAUAUAGGAUAGAGUGACAAAGCCCUAUGCACUGCAUUUACAAAUUUUCAAGCUUACACAUAUUCCUCGAAUACCCGCUCAACUAUAUUUGUAACACCCCAAAUUUGAUACCUGGAAUGCUACACGGUGCUCAUGACCCCGAAGGAUCACAAGCUAACCCAUGACUGAUAUCUGUACCUGUAUACUGCAUAAAAUACUUUAUAAUGCAAAAACAUGAACUGAAAGGCCAUAUGUUCAAAACUAAGACAUAGUAUCUAAUAAAAAAACAUCUGGGAGGGGUAUGAAAUACCCAAAACAACUGAAAUAAUCUAUCUGAAUAUACUAUAGUCUAGAAAGCCUCUAAAAUGUGACUGUCUGAAUAAGGAGUUGAUGGGACAUAUCCCUAACUAUCUCUAACUAAAAAACUAAUUACUGAAAUUAUAAAAUGAUGAUCAUGUCCUCAAAAUAUGAGGACUCACUGCUAACUCUGACAGUUGAGACUAGAAUCUACUGAUGCUCUGGAGCUCGUGUCUCUGAACCUAUGGUAUAAGACACCAUAGCGCAAAUGCAUCAGUACUUUGAAUAGACUGGUAUGCAUGUGAGGUAGGUUGAAUGCAUGGGGUUCAUAUGCAUGAACAAUAACAAUAGCAUACUAACUAUCAUGAGCAUGAGAAUACAUGCAUGAGACAUAAUAACUGACACUAAUACUGUGAUAGCAUGAUUACUGAAUCUGAAUAUUGAUAACAUAACAUACUGAUAACUGAUAUAAUUGAUAACAUAAGUGACUAUAUCUGAUAGUCCUGAAUCUAAUGAAACUAGAUGAGUCCCGUACUAUAUCUGAGUUGAUUGUAUUUGACAGUCUUGAAAUCUGAAAAACUAUCUAAGUUCUAUUACUGAGACUGAUUGACUAUGUCUGACAGUCCUGAUUCUGUAACAUAAAACUGUGGGAAGUAGUUAUCUAACUGACAUGCCCCUAAUAUGCCAUUAUGGCUGAGUUGGGGUUCAAUCUGUAACCCCAAUUGAAAGGGUGUCAAUACCGCAGCACUGGUAAGAACAAGCUGUGGGUGACCCUCAUCUGAUAGUGUCCCGAAAAGAGAAAGUGAGGCCCUUAUCUGACAGUGUUUAUCCACGUCAUCAACCCUCAUUGGACAGUGUUGAUGUCUCAACCUAUGCUGGCUACAUAGUUUUAGAAUGUAAGGAUGACUUCUAAGAAUUACACCCUCAUCUGAUAGUGUGUGUUCCCAUCCUUGGGUUUACUCAAUGCUAAUUCCUAUUCCCAUCUGAAUAGACUCUGGACAUGAUUUACUGAACUAAACAUGGGCUAAGUUACUGAAUUUCGUUAACUGAUGGAAUACUACUGAUAUCUGACAACUGACUAAGUUCAUGAGAUCAUGGAGAUUUCCUGAGUCAUAAGACUGUUUGAAGUCUAAGGAUUCAUAGCUUGACUGAGAGUAUCGUGAAAACAUGACAUGGCUCUAGGCACACAGCUAAUGUUUCGGGUACAAGUACCCCCAAGACUCGAUGNNNNNNNNNNNNNNNNNNNNNNNNNNNNNNNNNNNNNNNNNNNNNNNNNNNNNNNNNNNNNNNNNNNNNNNNNNNNNNNNNNNNNNNNNNNNNNNNNNNNNNNNNNNNNNNNNNNNNNNNNNNNNNNNNNNNNNNNNNNNNNNNNNNNNNNNNNNNNNNNNNNNNNNNNNNNNNNNNNNNNNNNNNNNNNNNNNNNNNNNNNNNNNNNNNNNNNNNNNNNNNNNNNNNNNNNNNNNNNNNNNNNNNNNNNNNNNNNNNNNNNNNNNNNNNNNNNNNNNNNNNNNNNNNNNNNNNNNNNNNNNNNNNNNNNNNAAUUUAACCCACAUAGAAUUUAUCACCCAACAUGGAGUAGAAUUCAAUUUCUCAUUAUCCACAUGAACAAGAGCAGCCCAGUCAUGAAAUUCAUAAGAAAAUCCAUAAACUUGAAUUUAGAAAUAGAAUUCUUGGGCUUCAUGGAUGAAAGGAGUCCAUGAAUGAACACUAUGCAUACCUUGGCUCGUAAAUACACAAAGAUUGACAAAGGAAAUUCUUGAUUCUAAAUCUUUUAUGAAAAACUAUAGGUUGUUCUUGAGAUGUUUUUGUGAGAAGAGAGUGUAUUUAGGGUGAAAAGUGGCUGAAUCACAUGUUAAAGGGCUUAAAUAGGGGUGGGAAAUUGACCCUUUUAACACUGGACGUGCCUUGUAAUUUCAGUAAAAAUUUCCUGAAUUGGACCCCUGGCCCAAUGCGGCGCUAUCACACUGUCACUGGAAUUUGACAAUUGGGAAACUGAGGGAUGGCGCGACACGGAGCCAUCACGUUGCCCCUUCUUUUGCGACCUGGAACUUUGGCACGACACAGAGAAAAUUGUGCUGAGACACUGAAAAAGGACAAUUGCCAUUUUAGCUUGUGGCACGGCACGCCAUUGACCAAUAUGGCGUUGUUUUACGACGGGAACUUGAAAUAGUCAUAACUUCUUACCUGGUUAUCAGAUUUAGGCAAAUUUUAUAUUGAUGGAAAGCUUAUUGAUUUUUUCAUAUGAAAAAAAGUGAAAAUAUUAAAAAUACCACGUGUACAAAAGUGGAUUCAUCUUUUAAAGAAAUCUUCUAAUAUUUUUUAGACGAUUUCAAGCUAGGAAAAAGUAUGGGGUAUUAUAAUAUCUCCCCCUUGAGAACAUUCGUCCUCGAAUGAAACUGAGAGUGAGGGGAAGAACAUAAACUGACAUACAUAAUGAACAUGAGUAACUGAAACAUGAUCUCAUGACUAACAUGACUGAUAACUGAAUAUAUCAUACUGGACAUGUAUACCUGAUGCAUGCGUAACUGAUUUAUGAAUGCAUGAUUAAGUGUUCUGAGGAACUAAAUUUCCCACAAUGAGAAUGCAUGUCUGAUGCAUAAUUAUAUAACUGAACUGAUACAUGAAUGCAUGACUGAAUAUGCAAUGGUACUUGAUACCAAGUUUGUGAUGAACACUGAACAUGAAACUAAGUAAGCUUAAGAAGGACUGUUCCCUUGAGCUCGAUCUGAGUUGGCGGACAAGAGGUGAGGAUACUUGGUACGCAUGUCUGCUUCUGCUUCCCAAGUAUCUCCCUCGAUAGACUGAUUUCGCCAAAGAACUUUAACUAGCGGUACUUCUUUGUUCCUCAGUCUAUGAGUCUGAUAGUCUAGGAUUUCGACUGAAAUCUUCUCAUAAGAGAGACUGUUCUAAACAUCAAUACUCUGAAUAGGGACUACAACUACUAGGUCACCUAUACACUUCUUGAGCAAACAGACAUAGAAGACUGGAUGAAUUGAGGCUAGAUAUAAAGGAAAUUCGAGCUCAUAAGCUACCUUGCCAACUCGACUGAGAAUCUUGAAGGGACCAACAUAUCGGGCACUGAGUUUCCCUUUCUUGCCAAAUUUCUUCGAAGGGAGAGAUCUUUAGAUAGACAUAGUCACCAAUCUCGAACUCGAGAUCUUUUCUAUGAACAUCUGCAUAAGACUUCUAUCGGCUCUGAGCAGCCCAGAGUCUUUCUCUAAUCAACUGGACUUUUUCUAAGGCAUCAAAUACUAAGUAAGGCCCUAUGAUUGAGGCCUCACUAACUUCGAACCAACUGAUCGGAGAUCUACAUCUCCUACCAUAAAGAGCUUCAAAUGGAGCCAUCCGAAUACUAGAAUAAUAGUUGUUGUAUGCAAACUCAAUCAAAGACACGUGGUCAUCCAAAAUACCCUUGAAAUCAAUUGCACACGCUCGUAGCAUAUCUUCUAAAGUUUGAAUGGUUCUUUCUGCUUGACCAUCUGUCUGAGGAUAAAAGGUUGUACUUAGAUGAACUUGGGUACCAAGACCCUUUUAGAAUGUUUUUCAGAAGUGAGAGGUGAACUCGAUACCUCUGUCUGAGAUAAUAGAUAAUGGAACGCGUGUAAUCUGACCAACUCGCUAAUGUAGAGUCUGGCGUAAUCCUCGGCUGAAUAAGAGGUAUGAACUAGAAGGAAAUGGGUUGAUUUGGUCAUCCUGUCUAUAAUGACCCAAACUGGCUGAUGACGAGUUCGAGGCAAACCCAUCACGAAGUCUAUGUUCACUUCUUCCCACUUCCAAGUAGGAAUAAUAAACUCCUGCAUAGGACCACUAGGCUUCUGAUGCAAUAUCUUAACCUGCUGACAUGUAGAAUACUUAGCCAUAAACUCUACAAUCUCUCUCUUCAUCCCACUCCACCAAUAGACUUCCUGCAAGUUGCAGUACAUCUUUGUGGCCCCUGGAUGAAUAGAGUAGUGUGCACCAUGCGCUUCUUCAAGAAUUCACUACCUUAAGUCAUCUACACCUAGAACAUAGAGACGACCCUGACAACGCAAAACACCAUCUCCCCCUUAAAAGAAAACCUCUACUUUCUGAUCCUGAACUGACUCUUUCAACUUGACAAGGAUGGGAUCUCUAUCUUGCUUUUCUUUCACCUCGGAAACUAGAGAUAAUUUUAAACUACUCUGAACCCAUAUAUCACCCUCAUCUGUACCGACUAAGCGAACGCCUAGUCUGGCAAGCUGAUGUACUUCCUGAGCUAACUUCUUCUUACUGACAUCCACAUGAGCAACACUACCCAUAGACAGUCUACUGAGAGUGUCGGCCACUACAUUGGCCUUGCCUGGAUGAUAGAGGACACUCAUGUCAUAAUCUUUCAAGAUCUCUAACCACCUUCUCUGAUAAAGAUUGAGAUCUUUAUGAGAAAAGACAUACUGAAUACUUAUGAUCUGUGAAGACAUCUACAUGAACUUCGUAGAGAUAAUGCCUCCAAAUCUUCAAGGCAAAGACUAUGGCUGCUAACUCAAGAUCAUGAGUAGGAUAAUUCUUCCCAUGGGGUUUAAGCUAUCUGGAGGCGUAGGCUAUGACCUUACCAUACUGCAUGAGGACACAACCUAUACCCACUCUGGAUGCGCACAAUACAUUACAAACCCAUCUGGACCAUCUGGAAGAGCUAAAACUGGAGCUGAGGUGAGUCGAGUCUUUAACUCCUGAAAACUCUUCUUGCAAGGAUCUGACUACUGAAACUUGAUUUUCUUCUAAGUCAAUCUGGACAUAGGGGAUGCAAUAGAAUAAAAUCCCUCAACAAACUGUCUGUAAUAGCCAGCCAAACCUAAGAAACUCCUGAUAUCUGAUGGAGAGACAGGUCUGGGCCAGUUUCUUACCGCUUCGGUCUUUUAAGAAUCUACUUUAAUUCCAUCACCCGAAAUGAUAUGACCAAGGAAUGCUAUUGACCUUAGCCAAAAUUCACACUUAUUGAAUUUGACGGAUAGCUGAUGAUCUCUGAUAGUCUAAAGUACUAUUCUGAGAUGGUCUGCAUGAUCUCGUACACUGCGGGAAUAGACCAGAAUAUCAUCUAUGAAGACUAUGAUAAACAUGUCCAAGUACUAUUUGAACAUGCGGUUCAUCAAGUCCAUGAAAGUUGCUGGGGCAUUAGUAAGACCAAAUGACAUGACUAGGAAUUUGAAGUGACUAUACUGAGUACAGAAAGCUAUUUUCAGAAUGCCACAUUCUCUGACUCUGAGCUGAUGAUAGUCGGAUCUGAGGUUUAUCUUAGAGAAAUAACUGGCAACCUGAAGUUGGUCAAACAAGUUAUUGAUUGUGGGAAGAGGAUACUUGUUCUUGACCGUGACCUUAUUAAGUUAACGGUAGUCUAUGCACUUUCUGAGAGAAUCAUUUUUCUUGUGCACGAAUAAUACUGGUGCGCCCCACGGGGAAAUGCUGGGCCUGAUGAAUCCCUUAUCUAGGAGAUCCUUCAACUGUUCUUUCAACUCUCUAAGUUCUGCUGGUGCCAUUCUAUAUGGAGGAAUAGAGAUAGGGUGAGUAUCUGGAAGAAGAUCAAUGCUGAAGUCUAUUUCCCUUUCGGGAGGAAUUCCUAGAAGAUCUUUGGGAAAGGCAUCUGACUAUUCAUUCACAACUGAAACGGAUUCAAGAUUGGGAAUUUUGGAACUAGAAUCCUUAACAUGAACAAGACGAUAAACACAUCCCUUAGAUAUCAUUUUCCUUGCCCGUAGGUAGUAAACAAGUUGACCCCUGAGAGUGGAUACACUACCCUUCCACUCAAGGACAAGUUUAUUUGGGAACUAAAAAUAGACUAUCCUAUUUCUCCAGUUGGCUAUGGCAUAGCAAGAAUAAAGACAAUCCAUGCCGAGAAUAACAUCAAAAUCAGUUAUCUCUAAUUCGACUAGAUUUGCUGAAGUGACUUUCUGAAAUAUCAUAACUGGGCAAUUCCUAUAUGCCCGCUAGGCUAUGAUGGUUUUACCCAUUGGGGUAGAGACUGAAAAGGGCUCGCUAGAAUUUUAGGACUGACUCCGAAAUCAACUAUUAUAUAGGGAGUAACAAAAGACAAGAAAGCACCUGGAUCUAGCAAAGUGUAAAAAUGAACAUGAAAGAUAUGUAACGUACCAGUAACCACAUCAGGGGAAAAUUUCCUGAUCUUACCGGGACUUGAGAGCAUAGAGUUUGUUUGGGCGUUGCCCACAAGUAGCACUGGAGGUGGCACCCUGCUGAUUUGGGCGACCGGACUAAGCUGAGGAGCAGAGAUGACUCUGAUAACCAGUCUGAGGGCAGUCUCUGACUCUUGGGCCUGGCUUUCCAUAACCAAAACAGACAUCGCUGUCAGCUCUGCACACACCCUUGUGGUUCUUACCAUAAGUCUGACCAAAGGGAUUAGUUCGGGCACUGCUAACACUGCCUUGAGACUUAGAUCCUGGCACUCUAUCUUUGUUACCCUCUUUGAACUUAGGAACUGGAGCACUGGCUGACGAAGGAGCUGGAACUGAUGACUUAGGAUGAAUCUAAGAGCGAUUGCCUCCCUCUGACUUAGGCUAACUAAAAUUAAAGCUACCUGUGCUAGCUCUCUUAUUCUGCUUCUCCCUCUGCUUAAUCUUCUGCUCCUCUAUCUGCUAAGCAUGAGUCAUGAUCCUAGCUAAUUCUAACACCUUAGCUUCUCUAAGCUCUAGGGGAAAGAAUCUAUCAAGGAAAGCAGAAGCGAACUCCUCCCACUCAACAGGCCCUGCAUCAUCUGGCCUUUCUGACUUCCACUGUUUAAACCAAACGUGAGCAACAUCCUGCAACUGAUAUGUAGUUAGCUCAACACUCUCACCAGAAGCAACCCCCAUUAUGUCUGUAACCUUCUACACCUGAUCUAGGAAUUCCUGAGGUUCCUCAUCUGUCUUAGACCCAAGAAAGGUUGGAGGAUUCAUUUGGGUGAAAUCCCGAAUCCUGGAUGCAAUUGGCCAUUAGAUUGGGCAAAACGACAGCUGGUUAUUUAUUCUGAGCAAAAACUGAGUUAGCAAGAGUAGUAAAUGCAGCUCGGAACUCUGCAUAAGAAACAUGUUCACUCAAAGGUUCUUCGGGCUGAGGGGCUGACUGAUUCCUAUUUCUUCUUUUAGGAGGCAUGUUCUGUAGAAGAAAGGGAGAAAUGGAUUACACUGAGAUAUGGACUUGAGAUUAUGCUUACUGGCAUGACAUAACUACUGAAAGAGGGAAAACUGUUCCUAAAACAUCUUAUAUCCUUUUGUACUUAAAUGUGGCGUACAACACACUCAUGUACAAAACUCUACUAGAUGCGGUUUUCAGACAUCCUAGUACUCUAUUGAACCUUAGGCUCUGAUACCAAGUUUGUAACGCCCCAAAUCUAAUACCCAGAAUGCUACACAGUAAUCAUGACCCCGAAGGACCACAAGCUAACCCAUGAUUGAUAUUUGUACCUGUAUACUACAUAAAAUACUUUAUAAUGCAGAAACAUGAAUUGAAAGGCCAUAAGGUUCAAAACUGACACAUAUUAUCUGAUAAAAACAUUUGGGAGGGGUAUGAAAUACCCAAAACAACUAAAAUAAGUUGUCUGAACAUACUGUAGUUUGGAAAGCCUCUAAAACAUGACUGUCUGAAUAAGGAGUUGAUGGGAUAUAUCCCCAACUAGGAAUAUAUCCCCAACUAACUCCAACUAAUAAACUAAUUACUAAGAUAAUAAAAUGAUGAUCAUGUCCUCAAAAGAUGAGGACUCACUGCUAACUCUAACAGCUGAUACUGGAAUCUACUGAUACUCUAGAGCUCAUGUCUCUGAACCUAUGGUAUAAGACACCAUAGCGCAAAUGCGUCAAUACUUUGAAUGUACUGAUAUGCAUGUGAGGUAGGCCGAAUGCAUGGGUUCAUAUGCAAGAAAAAUAACAAUAGAAGACUGACUAUCAUGAGCGUGAGAAUACAUGCAUGAGACAUAAUAACGGACACUGAUACUGUGAUAACAUGAUUACUAAAUCUAAAUACUAAUAACAUGACGUACUAAUAACUGAUAUAACUGAUAACAUGAGUGACUGUAUCUGACAGUCAUGAAUCUAAUGGAACUAGCUGAGUCCCAUAUUGUAUCUGAGUAGACUGUAUCUGACAGUUCUGAAAUCUGAAGAACUAUUUGAGUUCUAUUACUGAGACUGAUUGACUAUGUCUGACAGUCCUGAUUCUGUAACAUGAAAUGUGGGAAGUAGUUAUCUAACCGACAUGCCCCUAAUAUGCCAUUAUAGCUGAGUUGGGGUCUAAUCUGUAACCCUAAUUGGACGGGUGUCAAUACCGCGGCACUGGUAAGGAUAAGCUGUGGGUGACCCUCAUCUGAUAGUGUCCCCAAAAGAGAACAGUAAGGGCCUUAUCUGACAGUGCUUAUCCACCUCAUCAACCCUCAUCGGACAGUGUUGAUGUCUCAACCUAUGCUGGCUACAUAGUUUUGAAAUGCAAGAAUGACUUCUAAGAAUCACACCCUUAUCUGAUAGUGUGUGUACCCAUUCUUGGGUUCACUCGGUGCUAAUUUCUACUCCCAUCUGAAUAGACUCUAGACAUGAUUUACUGAACUGAACAUGGGCUGAGUUACUGAAUUCCGUUGACUAACGGAAUACUAUUGAUAUCUGACAAUUGACUGAGUUCAUGAGAUCAUGAAGAUUUCUUGAGUCAUAAGAAUGUCUGAAGUCUAAGGAUUCAUAUCUUGACUGAGAGUAUCAUGAAAACAUGACAUGGCUCUAGGCACACAGCUAAUGUUUUGAGUACGAGUACCCCCAAGACUCAAUGAAAGGAAACUGACCAAGCAUAACUUACUUGAACAUAUAACUAACAUCAUAAUCCAUAAUACAUUUAUAGAAGCAUUUCAUCAAAACAUGUGAUAGGCAUAACUUGUACAUACAUGGGGAUUUCAUGGUAUCAUGCUAGUUAGGCACUUUUCCUUCACCUAGGCAUUUAAUCAACCAUAUUGUAGGCAUGGUACAUGUAAACAUCAUUGUACAAUAAUUAAACAUCAUGGUUCAAUUCUAAUUUCAUCAUUCAAGGGUUUAGUCAUAGGUUUGCAUGAAUCUAUAUCUAUAAUAAUUUAACCCACAAAGAAUUUAUCACCCAACAUAGAGUAGAAUUCAAUUUCUUAUUAUCCACAUGAACAAGAGCAGCUCAAUCAUGAAAUUCAUAAGAAAAUCCAUAAACUUGAAUUUAGAAAUGGAAUUCUUGGGCUUCAUGGAUGAAAGGAGUCCAUGAAUGAACACUAUGCAUACCUUGGCUUGUAAAUACACAAAGAUUGAUGGAGGAAAUUCUUGAUUUUGAAUCUUCUAUGAAAAGUCCUAGGUAGUUCUUGAGAUAUUUUUUAGAGAAGAGAGUGUAUUUAGGGUGAAAAGUGGUUGAAUCACGUGUUAAAGGGCUUAAAUAGGGGUGGGAAAUUGACCUUUUACCCUGGACGUGUCUUGUAAUUUUAGUAAAAAUUUCCCGAAUUGGACCCUUGGCGCGACACGGCACUAUCGUGCCGUGUCUUUGGAAUUUGACAAUUGGGAAACUGAGGGAUGGCGCGAUGCGGAGCCAUCGUAUUACCCCUUCUUUUGCGACCUAGAACUUUGGCGCGACACGGAGGAAAUCGCGCUGAGACACUGGAAAGGGACAAUUGUCAUUUUAGCUUAUGGCGCGGCGCGCCACUGACCAAUAUGGUGUUGUUUUAUGACGUGGGCUUGAAAUAGUCAUAACUUUUUACUUGGUUAUCAGAUUUAGGCGAAUUUUAUAUCGAUGGAAAGCUUAUUAAAUUUUUCACAUGACAAAAAGUGAAAAUCUUAAAAAUGCCACAUGUACUAAAGUGGAUUCAUCUUUCAAAUAAAGCUCCUAACAUUUUUUACAUGAUUUAAGCUAGGAAAAGGUACGGGGUAUUACAAUAUUCUCCACCUUGUACGGCACUUCACUUGAGACUACUGAAAAUAUUCACAUGGGCGUUGAGCACAAAUGCAUAAACAUACUAACUUAUCUGAUUAACUGAAUGGUUGAUAGCUGAAUACUGGUCAUGUAAUAUUGAAUUGUACUUAGUCUGGACUGAAACUGUAGAGUUUAUGCCUAUGAGGUAAGGAAGGACUGACUGAGUUACAUGAGAUAACUGAGCAUGAAUUUGUGAAAACUGCAUUAUUUGAGAAUGCAAGACCAAGCGUAUAGCAUUAUUCUGAAAGUCUAUAAAUUGAGGUACUAAAAUACUGAUAACUGAAUAACUAAUAACUAUACGCUAUGGUUAAGCAAACUUGAAACUGAACUAAGUUACUGAUCUGAUUACUAGAUUGGGACUGGGACUGGGACUGAGACUGUAACUGAGACUUUAAUUGAGACUCAUACUGGAACUGAAUGCUGGGUUCUAAUAAUAAUGUGAUGGAUACUAACAUAAAUCAAGGAUAUGAAUAUACACUCACACUCAGCAUUUUCUCAACUUCUCAUCUCAUGAAAAUUCUGAUUUCCCUUCCUUCAACAACUACAUACAACUUCUUGCUAGCCAUUUACUUAGCACACUAACCUAACAUUCAGGCCUAUUUUUAUAACGACAGCCUUUUGUAAAACAAGUAUGCAAAAAUUUUUCCUUAUCAUGAACCAUUUACUCUCUCCCAUCUAAGCAAUCAUUCAUCACUACAUUAUAUCAUAAAGAGAUUUCACUAAAAGGGUUAAAAAUGAGGUCCUGAAGUGUGAAUGAAUAUUAUGCCAAACUCGACACUUAACUAAAGCCUAAGGAAUAGAAUAUCAACACCAUGGAUUUAUCAAGAGAUCUAAACUGAGGAUAUACAUGACAUAAUCUGAAUUUAGCUGACCGUUUGGAGUGUAGCAUGAGUCAUGGGAACUGGGCAUACUGUAAAGCAUGACAUGAGUACACGAGUCAUGAGCUGCAUGACCUCAGUCUAGAGUUUCUGUAUUAAUGAAACAUGAUUCGCAAUACUGAGUGAACUGAAACUCCUUAUACUAGGAACUGUAUGCGUAUAUAAUUUUUGCUAACAUGCAUAAAUAUGAGUUAUUAACAUAGAGCUGACAUAUAAGACAUGAAUAGAGAAGAUACCAUGAUAACUGAUGGGUUUUGAGAGUCUGAAGUACGAUUUUGAGAUGAUCUACGGGUUCAUCCUCAUUACGGGAAUAGAUAAGAGUGUCAUCUAUGAAUACUAUGAUGAACCUGUCCAAGUACUACUUGAACAAGAAAUUCAUCAAGUUUAUGAAAGCUGCUGGAGCAUUGGUAAGACCAAAUAACAUGACUAGGAAUUCGAAGUGACCAUACCGAGUUCUGAAAGUUUUCAAAAUAUCACAUUCUCUGACUCUGAACUGAUGAUAGCCUGAUCUGAGGUCUAUCUUAGAAAAGUAGCUGGCACCCUGAAGUUGGUCAAACAAGUCAUCGAUUCUGGGAAGUGGAUACUUGUUCUUGACUGUUACUUUAUUUAACUGACGGUAGUCUAUACAUUCUAAGAGAACCGUCUUCUUACGCAUGAAUAGAAUUGGUGGACCCCAAGGAGAUACGCUGGGUCUGAUAGAUCCCUUAUCUAGGAGAUCUUUUAACUAUUCUUUUAACUAUUUGAGUUCAACUGGGGCCAUUCUAUAUGGUGGAAUAGAGAUAAGUUGAGCAUCUAGAAGAGGGUCUAUUCCAAAGUCAAUUUCCCUCUCGGAGGGACUCCUGGAAGAUCUUCGGGAAACACAUCUGGGAAUUCACAUGCUACUGGAACUGACUCAAGGUUAGGGGUCUCUGAACUAGAGUCUUUAACUCGAAUGAGAUGAUAAACUUACCCCUUAGAUAUCAUUUUCCUCACCCUAAGGUAGGAAACAAACUGAACCCUAAGUUAAGCACUGAAGUACUACCCCUUCACUCAAGGACAAGUUCAUUCAGAAACUAAAAAUGGACAACUCUGUUUCUGCAGUCAACUGAAGCAUAGCAUGAAUGAAGUCAAUUCAUGCCGAUAAUGACAUCAAAAUAUGUCAUCUCUAGUUCUACUAAGUCUACUGAAAUGACUUUUUGAGAUACCAUAACUGGACAAUUGUUGUAUACCCAUCGGGCUAUGAUAGAUUUACCCACUGGAGUAGAGACUGGAGUAGAGACUGAGAAGGGCUCUGCUAGGAUUUUGGGACUGACUCCAAAGUCAAUAGCUAUAUAAGGAGUUACAAAGGACAAAGAAGCUCUUGGAUCUAGAAAAGCAUAAACGUGCAAAUAGUAGACUUGUAACAUACCAGUGACCACAUCAGGAGAACUUUUCUGAUCCUAUCGGGACUGAAAUACAUAAAGCCUGUUUGUGUGUUGCCCCCUGGUGGCACUGGAAGUGACACCUUGCUAAUUUGGGUGACUAGACUGAGCUGAGGGACGAAUAUGCUGACUCCGCGAGCCUGGCUGAGGACAAUCUAUGAUUCUAUUGCCUGGAUUUCCACAUCCAAAACACAACCCACUACCAGCCCUACAUAUGCCCUGAUGGUUUCUGCCAUAUUUCUGUCAAGGAGGAUUUGUUUGGCCACUCUUUGGCCUUGGCGUUCUGGUCCUCUUAUUCUUUCUCCCUCUUUUUCUACAUCCGUUCUCUUCAUUCUGCAAAGCUUGAGUCAUAAGCCUAAAUAAGAUAGUAGCCAACUGAUUGUUCUAGGCUACGAUUGAAUAAGCUAAGGCAGUGAAAGAAGUCCUGAGUUCAGAGUGAGACACAUGCUCAUUCAGGGGAUCUGCCUGAACGGGUGAAGGUGCUAGCUGGUUUCCAGUUCUUCUUCUGUUAGUCUUUUUGGGAGACAUAUUCUAUAAACGGAGGGAAGAAAAGGAUUAGAUUGAGAGUUUAACUUGAGCUCAUGCUCACUCGCAGAUAUGAAUACUGAAAUAAGGAAAACUUAUCCUAAAAAUGCCAUAUAGCCCCUUGUCCAUAAGUGUGGCACGCUACACACCUAUGCACAUGACUCUACUAAACGCGGCUUUCAGACUCCCUAGGACUCUGUUGAACCUUAGGCUCUGAUACUAAGUUUGGAACGCCCAGAGUCUGUACCCUGGACACUACAUGGUGCUCACGACCCCAAAGAACCACAAGCUAACCCAUGACUGAUAUCUGCUGUGAGCACUAAAUAAUAAUACUGUAAUAAAUUCGGAAAAUAGGCUGAAAUGCCAUAAGGUUCAAAUUUUGAAAUAUUGGUAAAUAAUAACAUUUGAUAAAUAUCUAAAAUCUGAAUACUGUCUGAACUAGUCUAGUCUGAAAACCUCUAACUGAACUAUCUGAAUGUGAAGUUGGGGGCUAAUGCUAUCUGAACUAGUCUAGUCUGAAAACCUUUAACUGAACUGUCUAAAUGUGGAGUUGAGGGACUAGCCCCCAACUAACUCCGACUACUGAACUACUCAUAAGCUAAUAACUGAAAUAAAAGCAUGCCCUUGAUAGAUAAGGACUCACUAAUGAUACUAUUGCUGGUAACUAAAUUUGUCUAUGCGCGGUCAGUAACCUGAGCGGCCGAACCUAUAAUAUGAGACAUCAUAGCGUAAAGAAAGAGUAUACGUUAGUAUGUGGAAUGUACUCAUAUGCUAGAUGAGGUAGGCUGAUAUGCAUGGGUUCAUAUACAUGAAUAAAUAACUAACUGGGUAACAUGACUACAACUAAAUGAGAGUACAUGUAUAACUGAAACUGAUGAAACACUGAUUAUGCAAUACUGUAUGCAUAUCUACAUAUACUGUAUCUGAGAUCAUAGUAACACUGGAUACUGAGUUCUGAUAACUGAAUGACUGAUAUCUGAGUUACUGAUAACUGUAUUACUGAUAGUUGGGUAACUAUUUCUGACAGUCCUGAUUCUGUAGAACUGAUCUAAGUUCUAUACUGAGCUGGGUGACUGUGUUUGACAGUCCCGAUUCUGUAGAACUAAACUGAGUUCCAUACUGAGACUGAAACUGAAAUAGUGAAAGGUAAUCAUUUAACCGACAUGCCCCUCUCUGAGCUAAUUGAGGUCCAACCUAUUACCCCAGCUCGAAGGAUGUCAGUACCGUGCUACGGGUAAAGACAAACUAAGGAGUCACCCUCAAUCUGGCAGGUGCUCUAAAUGAGAACGGUGGCAGGUAAAACACCUCAUCAACCCUCAACCUAGUAGGUUGAUGUCUCAACCUAUGCUGGAUACGUAGUUCUAGAACACAAGGACUGCUUCUUAGGAUCACACCCUCACCCUCUACUGGCAGGUGAGUCCCCAUCCUUGGGUUCACUCGGUGCUGAAUCCUACUCCCAACUAAAUAGACACCAAACUAAUUUCUAAAUUGUACUAGGCUGGACUGAACUGUGAUUGAUCGUGUUCACUGACUGAACUGGACUGAGUUCACUGAGUUCUGGUGUCUGAAUAAAUACACUGAGUUCUGUACUGACUAAAUACUACUGAUUAUGAUGUUUCUAAGACUAUCCUGUAACUACUGUAGCUCUAGGUCAACAGCUAAAUUUUUGGGUAUUAAAUACUCCUAGGACUCGAUAGCAUAAAAAGUAAAGCAUAGCAUGAUCUUGAAAAGCAUUACAAUGUUCAUAACUUAUUCAUAGAGAUAUUUUAUCAAACAAUUGCAAGAUAUAAGCCUGUACAUAUGCUAGCAUAUCAUGAUUCCCCCAUUUAAUCCACAUGAGCAAUUUUUCAAACACUUGGGGAGCAUAAUCUAUGCACAUAAUACUAAUCAACAUGUAGGCAUCAUGAUUUUCAAUUCCAACUAACAAAUUCAAGGUCUUUAACAUGAAUUCACAUAAUACUACACACAUGUCAAAUAAAUUUACAUAAAUUUUGUAAUAAAUCAUGAAUUAGAAACCCAAUUAACAUCAUAAUCAUGAAUACAUUGAAACCCAACAUGGAAUUCAUGAAAUCAACAAAGUUAAAGUUUUAAAAGAGGUUCUUGAACUCCAAAGGUGGAAGGAAACCCUUGGAUGAACACCUAACAUACCUUGAUGCUUGAAUUCGUGAAAAUUAAUGGUGCGACCUUGAAUCUUGAAUUUGAAAUUAGAUCCCCUAGGGUUUGUUCUUGAGAGAAUUUUAGAGAGAAUGACUGAAUUUUUCCUUUUGGAUGACUUAAUUAUGUGUUUUUGGGGAUGAUAUGAGGUGGGAAAAUGACCCAAUUACCCCUCUGGACACAGAUUUUUAAUGAUUGAAAACGUGCCCAGUGACGCUCAUAUCGACGCGUCGCGUCGAUGGCAUUGAUGCGAUGGCCAACGCGCCGCAUCGAGUUCACGUUGGUUUACUGGAAUUGUACUAAAAGCUGGGGGAAAUUAUCCAUCGAUGCGAUGGGUGACACGACGUGUCUAGAUCGCAUCAGCCCACUAUUUUGGUCACCUGAACAUAGUUCAAACGUGGUCUAAAAAAUCAAAAACUCACCCGAAGUGACCUACUAACAUUACUGAUCAUGAAUCAACCUAAAAUCGAUAUUUUAAGCUCAUAAGGGUCUGAAAUAGGACCGCCAACUUACGAAGGCUAAAAUACUUCUAAGUAUAAGCACUUAGCUGAAACUUCUAAGUCUGAGACCUCUUUUCAAGAUUUAACGGACUGAGUUAAGCUAAUAAUUUUGUGGGGUUUUAUGAAAUCAAACCAAUAACUCAAUAAUUCCUUUUAUAAAACCAUUAACCCAAUAACCCAACAACACUAAACCAAUAACAUUUUCAUCGGUUAGGUUUACUGUUCGGUUCAGUUUUUGCACACCCUUAGUAUUGUUGACUCAUUGGGUAUUUGAUUGUGUGAUAUGUAUUUGAAAAAGUGAAACUUUGUACUUACUUAUAUGUUGGUUGACUUGCUUUAUUUAUACGUGUUUUAAUCAUAGCUUACCAUAAUGGCUAGUUAUCAUUCUUUAAUAUUACAAGAGCAUUUGAUUGUUUGUCCGAGAGUUUGGUAUGGGUUUUCUAUGAUUACGGGUUUGUUCCUGUGAAUAUGAGUAAAGAAAAAGAUAAGGUGAAUAAAAAGGAAUAGUGAUGUAUUAGCAUUGGAUUGUGGUUGACUGUGUGAAUUAACGAGGCUAAAGUAUGUUAGUAGUGAAUAUAAUAUUGAUGGAGUUGGAAGAGUAGUUGGAUGAUGUAAGUUAUAUAGGUAAAGUAAUAAUGUUAUUACAACCUUAGUUGAAUUAUAUUCCAUUCAAGAUGUUAUGAUUUAUUUUCCUUAAUUCUAUUUUAUGAUUAUAUGAACUAACACGGUCGGUCGAUGAUGCCUACCAGUAUGUGUGGUUGUAUUGACCCUACUCUUCUACAUUCCUUCUUGGAGUGUAGACUGGAUGCAGGUUAGUUUGCAGUUACUAGAUAAAGGAUUAUUCAGCACUAACUUCUGCACUUUCUUCCCAGCAGAUGUUAGAGUUUUUAUAUUAUUUAUUUUAUUAUCAGACUAUGCUGUUGUAGAUAGCUCUUGUACAUGUCUGACUAGGAAACUUGUAAGAAGUUUUUGAAAAAAUUAAUUUAUUAAUAUUAAUUUAUCUUAUUAUAUUUAAUUUAGUAUUCCCUUAAAACAAAAGUCUUCUGCAUAUUUUUAGUUGGGUAAUAAGGGUUCUCCUAGCUACUUAGAAUAGCGUAGGUGCCCGCAGUUUGGGCCGUGAUAGGGUUGUGUGUUGGCCUCGCAUUUACCAGACCAUCAAGGGAGCUACUACAUCACCAUUUGUUGUCCCCGCACCGCACAGACUAGGCCACGUGAUAGGCCUGUGCCGCACGAGGAUGGACCAUGCGAUGGGGUGUGUGUCGCACCUUCCCCCUCCCUGUGUUACUUAACGAGAUUGCUUUAUAUGUUUUAUUUUUAAGGAGUGGACACAAAUUGGCUAACCACACUUAUUGCAAAAUCAAUAUUUGGAUGAGUCAUGGUGAGACAGUUUAGUUUUCCAAGUAACCUCCUAUAUCUUAAAAGAUUGAUAAAGGGAUCACCAUCUUUCACAAAAUGCACAUUGGGAACCAUUGGAGUACUGUAAGGCUUAGCUUUUAGCUUUCUCAUUCUGCAAGUCGGUUGAUGACAUACUUUCUCUAAGACAAAAAUUCCUUUCUUGCUCCUAGAGACUUCUACUCCCGAAAAAUAUUUCAACUGUCCCAAGUCUUUUGUAUGAAACUUAUUCUGCAAGAAAAAUCGAGUAAGGAGAUCCCCGCAGAAUCACUUCCAAUAAUGAUAAUGUCAUCAACAUAUACAACAAGAAGUAUGAUACCAAUUGUUGAUUUCCUAUAGAACACUGAAUGGUCACAUUUGCUCUUCUUUACCCCAAAUUCAUGAGCGACCUCAUUAAAUUUGCCAAACCAAGUCUGGGGACUUCAAGUCAUAUAAUGAUUUCUUUAAAUGGCAGCCUUCCCCAUAUUCCUCAUGAGAAAUAAAAUAAGGUGGUUUCUCCAUAUAUAACUCUUCUUGGAGAUCACCAUGAAGGAAUGCAUUUUUAAUAUUCAACUAAUGCAAAGACCACUUCAUAGAAGUAGCUAGAGAAAUGAACAAACGGAUAAAACUAAGUUUGGCAACCAGGGAGAAUAUGUCUGAAUAAUCCACUCCAUGAGUAUGAGAAUAUCCUUUGGCCAUAUGUCUAGCACUUAGUCUCGCCACAGAACCAUCUGGGUUGACUUUGACCGUGAAGAUCCACUUGCAUCACAUUACUUUCUUUCCACUAGGUAAAUACACUAAAUCCCAAGUGUAAUUUUCUUCCAAGGUAUGUAUUUCCUCAAGCAUUGUUUAGACCAGCCUGGAUGAUUCAGUCUCUUUCACUGUUUUGGGUACAAAAAUAUAGUCUAGAUAUGUAACCAAAGAUCAAGAUCCAUGAGAUAAUAGAUCAUAUGAAACAAAAUUAGCAACAGAAUAUGUGAACCUACAAGUAUGCGAACCUUUACAAAGAGCAAUAGGAAGGUCAAGAUCUUUUGAAGGAUCAAAUGGAGAAGGAUCUGAUUAUGGAAGAACUAAUGUAGAACAUGUAUCAUUAGCCAAUUGCCUUAUCGAGUAAACUUAAACAAUUGAUGGUUUUUCUGGAAUAGGUACAAAAGGCACAAUAGAAAAUCGGUGCUUAAUAGAAGAACUAAAAUAUGGAAGAACAUCAUCUGAUAGUUUUGUCACAUCACGAGUAACUUGAUAGGCUAACCAUUCCUCUUCCUCCUGCUAACUUGUAGAAGUGGGAGAUACAUAGAAGAAUGAUGUAAUCUCUGAAAGUGUCACAUUAACCGAUACCAAAUAUUUGUCAAGUUUAGUAGAAUAACAUUGAUACCCCUUCUGAAGACGAGAAUAGCCCAAGAAAACACAUUUCAAUGCCUUGGGGUCCAACUUGGUAACCAUCGAUCAAAAAUCUCUGACAUAACAGGUGCUUCUAAACACCUUUGGUUCUACUGGAAAUAAUGACUUAUUAACACGGUAAGGCAUAUUACUAACAAGCACACUAGAUGGCAUGUGAUUAAUCAAAAAACAGGUGGUAGAGACUGCAUAGGUCAAAAAUUAUUUAGGAACCUUUAUUUGGAACAGAAGUGCCCGAGUGGUCUCAAGUAGAUGCUUAUUCUUCCUUUCAACAGCUCUAUUUUGAGAAGGUGUAUCAAUACGUGAAUAAUGGUGGAGGAUAAGGUGUUAUCCCAUGUAGGACUGAAAUAAUUCUGACAUGUAUUUUUAGCAUAUCACUCCUCAAAAUACGCAUGAAAGCAUUGAAUUGAGUUUUUAUUUCAGCAUAAAAUGUACAAAAUUGAGUAAACACUUCAGAGCGACUCUUCAUAAAAUAAAUCCAAGUCAUUUGGGAGAAAUCAUCCAUAAAAGUGAUAAAAUACAUGUCUGAUUUUGGAAACAACAGGAUAUGGCGCCCAAACUUGAAAAUGAACUAACCCACAAGCUGACUCCUCGAUUAUUUACCCUUGGACUUAACGAACUGAGAUGGUGUUUUAUAAAUCGACAUGACUCACAAUCCAAUGAAGAAAUAUUUUGAAACUUAGGAUGGAGCUUCUUCAACAAAGGUAGAUAAAGAUGUCCAAUCGAUAAUAUACCUCAAAUGGGAACACGACACUAGAGUAGACAAUAGACCUAAGAUCCAGGUCAUCAAGUAUGUAUAGAUCACCAGAUACAUGUCCCUCACUAAUAACUUGAUAUAUCACAAGAUGAAAAAAUAGACAAUGAUCCCAAAAAAAUAAGAUAUAGCAAUUAAGCUAUCUAGUAAUUUUAUUGACGAACAUCAAACUAAAGGCCAGCUGAAGUUGGUUUUAUUGUCCCAAAUCCAACACUAGUAGAAGUUGACCCAUAACCAGAGAAGGUGUUUUAUGUGGUGUAAAGGUAGAGAAAAUGUUAGGAUUACCUGUCAUGUGAUUUGUAGCACCCGAACCAAUCGCCUAUUUAUUAGAAGAGAUGAUAAGACAUGUUUUAUCAGAUUCAACAAAAAAAUUAUGCCAGAGUGGAUUCCUUCAGUAAGUUCUAAUGUGGAGAAAAUUUUAAAAAUUCCUCGGCCAAGAGCAACAUCAUUUUUUCAAAAGAUGGACUAUGAACAAAAGCAAUACAAGCCAAAGUGUUCAUUCAUCCUUCUACAUAGCCAUUCAUUUUCAAACAAGUUCACAGGAGCGUAAUACAGAGGUUAACCAAAUAUAUAUUUGAAAAGAUCAUGGAUACAAAUUAUCAUCCCACCAACAAACAAGGUGAGACUAGCAAAUGUUAUGCAUAGAAACUUUCAACAAAGGUAUAAAGCACCAAACUGUCACCAAACAAUACUGGAUUGAUUAAAAAACCAAAAAUCAGAGAUACAAAUCUGAUUCCAGAAAUUAGCUACAGAGAAACCAAGAAAAUUAACAGUACUAUCAAAUAUCAGAAAAAAAUCUAAUCCAAAACCAAGGACAAAUGAAAUUAGAAUGAUUUUGUUGUUGCCUACAGUAUUUUGAUGAUCAAAGAAUCACUAGAGAUGUGUUUAAAGCUAUUUGGAAAUGUCUGAACCGAAAAAUCAAAACAAUGAGACCUCUCACGCACCCACACAAGCUGCUAGAAAAUCCUCAAUGAAAAAUCUGGAGAGACGGUGAAACAAUUCCAAUGAGACAGUGAACUAAUUCCAACAAUGCCACACAUGCUCUGAUACCAUAUUAUUGAGCAAGGUUUCGAAGUAAUUUUCAUAUGUUUUAUUCCAUUAUAGGGUAGAUUCAUAUACAUCUAUAGCUAUGCUAAUUAAAGAAAUAAUCAAAAAGGAAAUUUUAUCAAUCCCUGAAGAUUGUAACACCUCGUGAAAUUCCCGACUCCUUAGAGCUUUUAAAGCAUACCAAGAAAGGCUUAACACUUAGAAAAUUUGGCUAAGUGUUGAAACUUUUCCAUUCCAUAAGCCUUUGAAACUUUGACAAAUUAUUUUGUGACCUUCCCAACCUCCAAUUCUUAAUUUUCUUGUUGCAUUGCGAUGGGGCAAGUCAAGAGUACAUCCCGGGUAAGUUUCAGAAUUUUUAGAUGAGCCUAAGGUCUUGUUUGGGUUGGAAAAACAGUAGCUAAAGGAUGCAGAGGGGCGCUUCCCAGCUUAGAGCCUUCGCUCCCUUCCUCAAUAGCAAGGCGNNN
rnacentral:lncRNA from 1 species